GACGAACGCUGGCGGCGUGCUUAACACAUGCAAGUCGAACGGUGAAGCGCCUUCCUUUUUGGUGGGUGUGGAUGAGUGGCGAACGGGUGAGUAACACGUGAGUAACCUGCCCCCUUCUUCUGGAUAACCGCAUGAAAGUGUGGCUAAUACGGGAUAUUCUGGGUCUGUCGCAUGAUGGGUCUGGGAAAGAUAUUGUUUCGGUGGGGGAUGGGCUCGCGGCCUAUCAGCUUGUUGGUGGGGUGAUGGCCUACCAAGGCGGUGACGGGUAGCCGGCCUGAGAGGGUGGACGGUCACACGGGGACGGAGACACGGCCCAGACUCCUACGGGAGGCAGCAGGGGGGAAUAUUGCACAAUGGGCGCAAGCCUGAUGCAGCGACGCCGCGUGAGGGAUGGAGGCCUUCGGGUUGUGAACCUCUUUCGCCAGAGAAGCAGGCCUGCCUCGUUUGUGGGUGGGUUGACGGUAGCUGGAUAAGAAGCGCCGGCUAACUACGUG
rnacentral:rRNA from 1 species